CUCCACCCACUCCUUGUGCACACCCUGCCCCGCUAAAGGCGGCUCAGUUGCCAGGCUGCAGAGAAUCCAGUCACCAAUCUAUGCAGGCCCACACGUUGCCUGAGGGCUUGUUGCUGGGUGGGGCCAGUCUCUAGGGUGGGCUGCCUGCCCUGGCUGAGCUGGAUUAAAUCGGUGUUCUAGCGGGUGGGGCAGACCCUGGGCUAGCAGGCCUCAGGGAGAACUCCAAUGGCGUCUGUGUCAGCACGCCCACAUCAGGCCACAACAAUGGCCGCCGCCAAUGUCCCAGUCCCUGGAGAGGUCUCACCCCUCACCGAGAUGCACUCAGGGCCUAUUAGGGAUCAUCAUCUGGAGGCAGGGGACAAGGCUGCUGGCUCUGCCUGGACAAGGCAGCAGCUGUUGAGGAGUCCGGCAGGAAAACAAGCAAACCAACCAACAGCAAGGACACCCAAGGAGAAGUCCCUGAUCUGCUAGGAGAAAUGGAAGCAGCGAACAUGACACUACCAUCUAUGGCUAAGUCACUCUUUGGCAACAAGUACUUAGGAAGAAGACUUCUCUCUCUGCCCUUCUGAGCACAGGGGUCAAGGGCUCUGGCCGAACAUGGGACAGACACAUGACCUUUACCCUCCACAGAGCUCCAGCUGUCACCUUUACCUGAGCCUUCGAUUUCCUUCGUUCUUUGGACUCAUUGUGUCUCAGGAGGCAGAGAACCCAUGGGAAGCACUCAAAUUCAAGGUUGCAAUCAUAGCCUGCCGCUUGUCACACCCCAAACCCCACAUCUCCACCCUUAACCUAGAAUUCCAACUCACAAAUUAUUCAUUUAUAUUACAAUUGCAGUACACAAAAUGAUAGACUUGUAUCCUUCUGAAGGAUGAUGCAGCUGUCUAAAGGACUUACUGCAUGGUACUCACAACCCAAACGACUCCUUAUUUGUCCAAAUUAUGUUUUCUUUAUGGAUGAUAAAUAGAUUUUAAGCCCCACUUUGAUAUCAUGAGACGAACUGAUUAACACUUUAAACAAUGGAUAAGGUGAUUUGUAAUCUGGAUGCUUAGUCUAUAUUAUGUAAAUCUAAAUCCAAAUAACCAGAGUUUCUAUGUGGAAAAGGACUUUGCUUGACCCUCUAAACUAUAUAAUAAAAAUUACUUGAGGAACACUGAAGAGGACUUACAGGGGAAAAUACAAAUGAUAAGAAGAGGCAGC